UACGUAGGGGGCUAGCGUUAUCCGGAAUUACUGGGCGUAAAGGGUGCGUAGGUGGUUUCUUAAGUCAGAGGUGAAAGGCUACGGCUCAACCGUAGUAAGCCUUUGAAACUGGGAAACUUGAGUGCAGGAGAGGAGAGUGAAAUUCCUAGUGUAGCGGUGAAAUGCGUAGAUAUUAGGAGGAACACCAGUUGCGAAGGCGGCUCUCUGGACUGUAACUGACACUGAGGCACGAAAGCGUGGGGAGCAAACAGGAUUAGAUACCCUGGUAGUCCCUGAG
rnacentral:rRNA from 1 species